rnacentral:rRNA from 1 species
CCUACGGGUGGCAGCAGUGAGGAAUAUUGGUCAAUGGGCGGGAGGCUGAACCAGCCAAGUAGCGUGAAGGCUGACUGCCCUCUGGGUUGUAAACUUCUUUUAUAAGGGACUACAGUGAGCUACGUGUACCUUUUUGUAUGUACUUUAUGAAUAAGCAUCGGCUAACUCCGUGCCAGCAGCCGCGGUAAUACGGAGGAUCGGAGCGUUAUCCGGAUUUAUUGGGUUUAAAGGGAGCGUAGAUGGGUUGUUAAGUCAGUUGUGAAAGUUUGAGGCUUAACCGUAAAAUUGCCAUUGAUACUGUAAGUCUCGAGUACAGACGAGGUAGGCGGAAUUAGUGGUGUAGCGGUGAAAUGCUUAGAUAUAACGAAGAACUCCGAUAGCGAAGGCAGCUUACUAGACUGCGACUGACACUGAUGCACGAGAGUGUGGGUAUCAAACAGGAUUAGAUACCCGAGUAGUC